GCCCCUGUAGCAUAGCCCGGUAAUGUACCGCUCUCGUAAAGCGGGGAUCGGGGGUUCAAAUCCCUCCAGGGGCU
rnacentral:tRNA from 1 species